rnacentral:rRNA from 1 species
GGGAGCAUGUGCACACCUUGUCAUCUUUAUAUCUCCACCUGUGCACUUUUUGUAGACCUUUCAGGUCUAUGUUGCUUCAUUUACCCCAAUGUAUGUUAAUAGAAUGUUGUGCCUAUAUAAUAUAUACAACUUUCAGCAACGGAUCUCUUGGCUCUCGCAUCGAUGAAGAACGCAGCGAAAUGCGAUAAGUAAUGUGAAUUGCAGAAUUCAGUGAAUCAUCGAAUCUUUGAACGCACCUUGCGCUCCUUGGUAUUCCGAGGAGCAUGCCUGUUUGAGUGUCAUUAAUAUAUCAACCUUCUCUUUUUUGAGUUGUUUGGAUGUGGGGGUUUGCUGGCCUCUUAAAUGAUUCAGCUCCCCUGAAAUGCAUUAGCAGAACAACCUGUUCAUUGGCGUGAUAAUUAUCUAUGCUAUGAAUGUGA